GGGUUGUGAGGUUAAGCGACUAAGCGUACACGGUGGAUGCCCUGGCAGUCAGAGGCGAUGAAGGACGUGCUAAUCUGCGAUAAGCGUCGGUAAGGUGAUAUGAACCGUUAUAACCGGCGAUUUCCGAAUGGGGAAACCCAGUGUGAUUCGUCACACUAUCAUUAACUGAAUCCAUAGGUUAAUGAGGCGAACCGGGGGAACUGAAACAUCUAAGUACCCCGAGGAAAAGAAAUCAACCGAGAUUCCCCCAGUAGCGGCGAGCGAACGGGGAGSAGCCCAGAGCCUGAAUCAGUGUGUGUGUUAGUGGAAGCGUCUGGAAAGGCGCGCGAUACAGGGUGACAGCCCCGUACACAAAAAUGCACAURCUGUGAGCUCGAUGAGUAGGGCGGGACACGUGGUAUCCUGUCUGAAUAUGGGGGGACCAUCCUCCAAGGCUAAAUACUCCUGACUGACCGAUAGUGAACCAGUACCGUGAGGGAAAGGCGAAAAGAACCCCGGCGAGGGGAGUGAAAAAGAACCUGAAACCGUGUACGUACAAGCAGUGGGAGCCUCUUUAUGGGGUGACUGCGUACCUUUUGUAUAAUGGGUCAGCGACUUAUAUUCUGUAGCAAGGUUAACCGAAUAGGGGAGCCGAAGGGAAACCGAGUCUUAACUGGGCGUUAAGUUGCAGGGUAUAGACCCGAAACCCGGUGAUCUAGCCAUGGGCAGGUUGAAGGUUGGGUAACACUAACUGGAGGACCGAACCGACUAAUGUUGAAAAAUUAGCGGAUGACUUGUGGCUGGGGGUGAAAGGCCAAUCAAACCGGGAGAUAGCUGGUUCUCCCCGAAAGCUAUUUAGGUAGCGCCUCGUGAAUUCAUCUCCGGGGGUAGAGCACUGUUUCGGCAAGGGGGUCAUCCCGACUUACCAACCCGAUGCAAACUGCGAAUACCGGAGAAUGUUAUCACGGGAGACACACGGCGGGUGCUAACGUCCGUCGUGAAGAGGGAAACAACCCAGACCGCCAGCUAAGGUCCCAAAGUCAUGGUUAAGUGGGAAACGAUGUGGGAAGGCCCAGACAGCCAGGAUGUUGGCUUAGAAGCAGCCAUCAUUUAAAGAAAGCGUAAUAGCUCACUGGUCGAGUCGGCCUGCGCGGAAGAUGUAACGGGGCUAAACCAUGCACCGAAGCUGCGGCAGCGACRCUUAUGYGUUGUUGGGUAGGGGAGCGUUCUGUAAGCCUGCGAAGGUGURCUGUGAGGYAUGCUGGAGGUAUCAGAAGUGCGAAUGCUGACAUAAGUAACGAUAAAGCGGGUGAAAAGCCCGCUCGCCGGAAGACCAAGGGUUCCUGUCCAACGUUAAUCGGGGCAGGGUGAGUCGACCCCUAAGGCGAGGCCGAAAGGCGUAGUCGAUGGGAAACAGGUUAAUAUUCCUGUACUUGGUGUUACUGCGAAGGGGGGACGGAGAAGGCUAUGUUGGCCGGGCGACGGUUGUCCCGGUUUAAGCGUGUAGGCUGGUUUUCCAGGCAAAUCCGGAAAAUCAAGGCUGAGGCGUGAUGACGAGGCACUACGGUGCUGAAGCAACAAAUGCCCUGCUUCCAGGAAAAGCCUCUAAGCAUCAGGUAACAUCAAAUCGUACCCCAAACCGACACAGGUGGUCAGGUAGAGAAUACCAAGGCGCUUGAGAGAACUCGGGUGAAGGAACUAGGCAAAAUGGUGCCGUAACUUCGGGAGAAGGCACGCUGAUA
rnacentral:rRNA from 1 species